rnacentral:rRNA from 1 species
AGAAUCAACGCUGGCGGCGCGCUUAACACAUGCAAGUCGCACGAGAAAGCAGGAGCAAUCUUGUGAGUACAGUGGCGCACGGGUGAGUAACACGUGGAUCAUCUACCUUCUAGUGGGGAAUACCCCUGGGAAACCGGGGAUAAUACCGCAUAAGCUCGAAAGAGGAAAGUCGAAAGGCGCUGGAAGAGGAGUCCGCGGCUGAUUAGCUAGUUGGUGGGGUAACGCCCACCAAGGCGAAGAUCGGUAGCCGGCCUGAGAGGGCACACGGCCACACUGGCACUGAAACACGGGCCAGACUCCUACGGGAGGCAGCAGUGGGGAAUCUUGCACAAUGGGGGCAACCCUGAUGCAGCGACGCCGCGUGAGCGAUGAAGCCCUUCGGGGUGUAAAGCUCUUUCGACGGGAACGAUUAUGACGGUACCCGAAGAAGAAGCUGCGGCUAACUACGUGCCAGCAGCCGC